CAAUUUGUAACUUUCAGUGGCUCUCCAAGCCUGGGUACCGGAGGGAGGGAGGCGGACGAAGCCAGGCACCCGCGAGGUCCCUUGCCAACUGCUGUCGGGCCGCCACUGCAGAGAAAGCCAAGUAGAGAUGCCUGAGAAGAAGAAAAUGUUCUCCUUGGGUCAGAACCUAUGCCCAGGUUCUAGUCCUGGGCGCCUUCAGUCCAAAUAUUCAAGCCUGCAAAACCAGAGAACAGAAUUACGGUUCAACUUUUUAGUUCCACACUAAGUUCACUGGAUCUAAUCCUGGACAACUCUCUAGUACAAAAAGUUACAUUUUAAAAUCUCAUCUUUUUCCCAGUGCCAACAAAAAAGGCAAGCAGAUUGUAUUUUUCUCCCCUAAAAUGUAAGCAGUUAGUUCAGGGUCAUCCUGUUGAUUCCUUGACCUUCUGGGGGAGGAUUCCCAGAAGAGAUACACAAUAUGUAUGCCUCCUUUUGCUUCUGGUUAGAGUGGAGGUGGCAGGGCUUGAGGGACCCCAUUUUGAUCUCCGGCUCUGGAUUGGAACAAAGAAGGGUCGCGAGCUGGCCAGGGCACUCAGUUACUUCUGGUCAGCGAGGUUUGGCUUAGGAGAGUUUGGGGUAUAUCUUGGCUCUGAGGAAAUUCUUUUUAAGCAUUACUGUGGAGGUGAACUAUUAAAACGGUGUGACAUGUUUUCAAUCUAUUCAGAUUUAUCACAGGUGCAGAAAUAAAAUUACAGGAGAAAUUCACGUUUCCCGAAGAUACAUUUUGGGUGUCUUUAUCUGUUUAUCUUGGGGAGACAGAAUCCAACUGGGCAGAAGUAAAACUGCUGCUCCUCCCCUCCUGGGUCUCCAUCCCAUGGUCACAUUGACAUUCUGGGCACAUUCGGCCCAGCCCCCGUCCCUGCUUCUCCCAAGUAUGAAUCUAAAUUACUAUUAAUAAGGGGCCGCUCCAAGUUAAUUGGCAUUAAAAGAAUUCAUUUCAAUUUGUUAAUAUUAAAUGAACGCUGUGCACUUUCGCUCCCUUCUUCGCCCCGGAUUCCCAGAUGAGUGAUGGCAAGAGGGGGCGGGGGAGUAGAAUGAGGAUUUUAUUUCUGGCUCUCUGGCUUAGCCACUGAACUGCCUCCCCUGGGGGUGUGCGAUCAGGCGCAGUGGGGACCUGAUUGGGGGAAGUCGAUGGUAUUAUUUGAUGAAAUUCUUCUGCUUCAACCAGAGCUGUGGGGGACGGAGGAGGGGACAGAGAGAGGGUUUGGGGGACAUUGCAGGGGAAAGCAGGGACUAUGCAGAAAGUGAUAAGAGAAAGGGAUAGAGAGAAUUUGGGUAAAGCAGACUUGUGUAAAAGCAGCAGUAGCUCAAAAGCCACCUAGAGAGGGAGGGGCUUGGGGCAGGAGCUGAUUUGAGGCCACACAGCUAGGGGUCCUGAAGCUGUCUAGCUUUCUAGCUGUGUGACUUUAGGCAAUCUGAUGAACUUUCUACUCUUACUUCUUGACCUGUAAAACAGGGAUAAUAAGAAUAGCACCUAUGUCAGGGAAGGGAUUGUUUGAGAUUACAUGAAAUAUGUGCAAUGUGUUUGGCACAGAGAAAUGCCAAUCAGUGUUUG